GAAGAAAGAGGGAGGAGGGUUGAAUACAUGCAAGUUGAGCGCUGAAGGUUGGUACUUGUACCGACUGGAUGAGCAGCGAACGGGUGAGUAACGCGUGGGGAAUCUGCCUUUGAGCGGGGGACAACAUUUGGAAACGAAUGCUAAUACCGCAUAAAAACUUUAAACACAAGUUUUAAGUUUGAAAGAUGCAAUUGCAUCACUCAAAGAUGAUCCCGCGUUGUAUUAGCUAGUUGGUGAGGUAAAGGCUCACCAAGGCGAUGAUACAUAGCCGACCUGAGAGGGUGAUCGGCCACAUUGGGACUGAGACACGGCCCAAACUCCUACGGGAGGCAGCAGUAGGGAAUCUUCGGCAAUGGACGAAAGUCUGACCGAGCAACGCCGCGUGAGUGAAGAAGGUUUUCGGAUCGUAAAACUCUGUUGGUAGAGAAGAACGUUGGUGAGAGUGGAAAGCUCAUCAAGUGACGGUAACUACCCAGAAAGGGACGGCUAACUACGUG
rnacentral:rRNA from 1 species